GAUGAACGCUGGCGGCGUGCCUAAUACAUGCAAGUAGAACGCUGAAGGAGGAGCUUGCUCUUCUGGAUGAGUUGCGAACGGGUGAGUAACGCGUAGGUAACCUGCCUGGUAGCGGGGGAUAACUAUUGGAAACGAUAGCUAAUACCGCAUGACAACAGUUAUUGCAUGAUAACUGUUUAAAAGGGGCAACUGCUCCACUACCAGAUGGACCUGCGUUGUAUUAGCUAGUUGGUGAGGUAACGGCUCACCAAGGCGACGAUACAUAGCCGACCUGAGAGGGGGAGCGGCCACACUGGGACUGAGACACGGCCCAGACUCCUACGGGAGGCAGCAGUAGGGAAUCUUCGGCAAUGGACGGAAGGCUGACCGAGCAACGCCGCGUGAGUGAAGAAGGUUUUCGGAUCGUAAAGCUCUGUUGUAAGAGAAGAACGAGUGUGAGAGUGGAAAGUUCACACUGUGACGGUAUCUUACCAGAAAGGGACGGCUAACUACGUG
rnacentral:rRNA from 1 species